UACGUAGGGUGCAGGCGUUGUCCGGAAUUAUUGGGCGUAAAGAGCUCGUAGGCGGUCUGUCGCGUCUGCUGUGAAAACUCGGGGCUUAACCCCGGGCCUGCAGUGGGUACGGGCAGACUAGAGUGCGGUAGGGGAGACUGGAAUUCCUGGUGUAGCGGUGAAAUGCGCAGAUAUCAGGAAGAACACCCGUGGCGAAGGCGGUUCUCUGGGACGGUACUGACGCUGAGACGCGAAAGCGUGGGGAGCGAACAGG
rnacentral:rRNA from 1 species